rnacentral:rRNA from 1 species
GUCCAGACUCCUACGGGAGGCAGCAGUGGGGAAUAUUGCACAAUGGGGGAAACCCUGAUGCAGCGACGCCGCGUGAGCGAUGAAGUAUUUCGGUAUGUAAAGCUCUAUCAGCAGGGAAGAAAAUGACGGUACCUGACUAAGAAGCCCCGGCUAACUACGUGCCAGCAGCCGCGGUAAUACGUAGGGGGCAAGCGUUAUCCGGAUUUACUGGGUGUAAAGGGAGCGUAGACGGCAUGGCAAGCCAGAUGUGAAAUGCCGGGGCUCAACCCCGGGACUGCAUUUGGAACUGUUAAGCUGGAGUGUCGGAGAGGCAGGCGGAAUUCCUAGUGUAGCGGUGAAAUGCGUAGAUAUUAGGAGGAACACCAGUGGCGAAGGCGGCCUGCUGGACGAUAACUGACGUUGAGGCUCGAAAGCGUGGGGAGCAAACAGGAUUAGAUACCCUCGUAA